rnacentral:rRNA from 1 species
GUGCACGCUGGCGGCAGGCCUCAUACCUGCCAGUCGAACGGCAGCACAGCAGAGCUUGCUCUGUGGGUGGCGAGUGGCGGACGGGUGAGGAAUACAUGGGAAUCUGCCCAGUCGUGGGGGAUAACGUAUGGAAACGUACGCUAAUACCGCAUGCGCCCUUUGGGGGAAAGCCGGGGACCUUCGGGCCUGGCGCGAUUGGAUGAGCCCAUGUUCGAUUAGCUAGUUGGCGGGGUAAAGGCCCACCAAGGCGACGAUCGAUAGCUGGUCUGAGAGGAUGAUCAGCCACACUGGGACUGAGACACGGCCCAGACUCCUACGGGAGGCAGCAGUAGGGAAUAUUGGACAAUGGGCGCAAGCCUGAUCCAGCCAUGCCGCGUGAGUGAAGAAGGCCCUCGGGUUGUAAAGCUCUUUUGUCCGGAAAGAAAAGCAUUCGGUUAAUACCCGGGUGUUCUGACGGUACCGGAAGAAUAAGCACCGGCUAACUUCGUG